GGCUCAGAUGGUAAAGCGCCUGCCUGCAUUGCAGGAGACCCGGGUUCGAUCCCUGG
rnacentral:tRNA from 1 species